rnacentral:rRNA from 1 species
GGACCAGACUCCUACGGGAGGCAGCAGUGGGGGAUAUUGCACAAUGGGGGGAACCCUGAUGCAGCGACGCCGCGUGGGUGAAGGAGCGUUUCGGCGCGUAAAGCCCUAUCGGCAGGGAAGAAGGAGGACGGUACCUGACUAAGAAGCCCCGGCUAACUCCGUGCCAGCAGCCGCGGUAAUACGGGGGAUGCAAGCGUUGUCCGGAAUCAUUGGGCGUAAAGAGUUCGUAGGUGGCACGUUAAGUCUGGUGUUAAAUGCAGAGGCUCAACCUCUGUUCGGCACUGGAUACUGCGAGCUUGAAUGCGGUAGAGGUAAAGGGAAUUCCUGGUGUAGCGGUGAAAUGCGUAGAUAUCAGGAGGAACAUCGGUGGCGUAAGCGCUUUACUGGGCCGUAAUUGACACUGAGGAACGAAAGCCAGGGUAGCAAAUGGGAUUAGAUACCCGGGUA